rnacentral:lncRNA from 1 species
GAAGCGCAACCCCAACAAGUUCUGUCUCUACCAUCGCGACCACGGCCACGACACGGAGGAAUGCAUCCAGCUCCAAGACGAGAUCGAGGAGCUCAUCCGACGAGAUCGACUCGAUAGGUUCAUUCGAUGUCGGCCUGAGGGUAGAGAAGAUCGGCCAAGGGCCCUGCCGCAACCUGAACCGCCAAGGAGGGAGGAGCAGCCCAG